CUUUGCUCUCAUCCAGAAGCUGUCAGAAGAGCUGCUGGCCAAAUGGCUGUCUCUCCCUGAGGCACAACAUGUGCCACUCUGCCAGCACAUGCUGGGCUUUGCCAUGAAGUCUGUCACACAGACAGCUAUGGGCAGCAGCUUUGAAGAUGACCGGGAAGUCAUCCGAUUCCGCAGGCACCAUGAUGCAAUUUGGUCAGAGAUUGGAAGAGGUUUCUUGGAUGGGUCUCUUGACAAAAACAUGACUAGGAAGAAGCACUAUGAAGAUGGUAGGUUUCUCCCAAAAUUACA